rnacentral:rRNA from 1 species
AUUGAACGCUGGCGGCAUGCUUUUCACAUGCAAGUCGAACGGUAACAGGCCUUCGGGCGCUGACGAGUGGCGAACGGGUGAGUAAUGCAUCGGAACGUGCCCAGUCGUGGGGGAUAACGCAGCGAAAGCUGUGCUAAUACCGCAUACGAUCUGUGGAUGAAAGCGGGGGACCUUCGGGCCUCGCGCGAUUGGAGCGGCCGAUGUCAGAUUAGGUAGUUGGUGGGGUAAAGGCUCACCAAGCCAACGAUCUGUAGCUGGUCUGAGAGGACGACCAGCCACACUGGGACUGAGACACGGCCCAGACUCCUACGGGAGGCAGCAGUGGGGAAUUUUGGACAAUGGGCGCAAGCCUGAUCCAGCAAUGCCGCGUGCAGGAAGAAGGCCUUCGGGUUGUAAACUGCUUUUGUACGGAACGAAACGGUCCUGGUUAAUACCUGGGGCUAAUGACGGUACCGUAAGAAUAAGCACCGGCUAACUACGUGCCAGCCGCCGCCGUAACAC